rnacentral:rRNA from 1 species
UACGAGAGGCCCAAACGUUAUUCGGAAUUACUGGGCUUAAAGAGUUCGUAGGCGGCGCAGAAAGUAGGGUGUGAAAGCCCUCGGCUCAACCGAGGAAUUGCGCUCUAAACUACUGUGCUUGAGGAAGCUAGAGGUGAGCGGAACUGAUGGUGGAGCGGUGAAAUGCGUUGAUAUCAUCAGGAACACCGGAGGCGAAGGCGGCUCACUUGGGGCUUUUCUGACGCUGAGGAACGAAAGCCAGGGGAGCGAACGGGG